GAAAUGCGAUAAGUAAUGUGAAUUGCAGAAUUCAGUGAAUCAUCGAAUCUUUGAACGCACAUUGCGCCCGCCAGUAUUCUGGCGGGCAUGCCUGUCCGAGCGUCAUUUCAACCAUCAAGCCCCCGGGCUUGUGUUGGGGACCUGCGGCUGCCCGCAGGCCCUGAAAACCAGUGGCGGGCUCGCUGUCACACCGAGCGUAGUAGCAUACAUCUCGCUCUGGGCGUGCUGCGGGUUCCGGCCGUUAAACCACCUUCGUAACCCAAGGUUGACCUCGGAUCAGGUAGGAAGACCCGCUGAACUUAAGC
rnacentral:misc_RNA from 1 species